rnacentral:lncRNA from 1 species
AGAGGAGACUGACUAAAGUUUGGUUGACGACGGAGUCCUUGUCACAGCAAAGAAUCAUCCUGCCCUUGUCUAUUCUUGGGUAAAACCCACCCCAGCCUUCCUCAUGGCUCCUUUUUGGUGCUGUGUUUCAGGCAGGAGCAGAAUCCUCACCUUUGGAACCCUGUUCACUCCACCCAGAACAAGAAACAGAUCGAGGAAGAGGCAGAGUAACAACAGCCGGGAAGAAGAUACAGUUUUGUCAUUUUGUAGUGAGACUGUGCCCUAUACAUGAACCUAUUUGCCAGACCCAUCAAGUGAAUUCCGUGAUUCUUAUGAAAAAGCUAAGUUUAUUUCAAAGUUUUAGUAGAACACAUUGAAAAUAGUCAUCACUUAUUGUGCUCAGAGCCACUUCAUUGAUUUUAUUUCUUAAGCUAGAUAGCUAUCAACUACAAAGUCAGCCUUCUGGGAAGAAACCUGUAUGUCAUGAAAUCAGCAUGAAUUUUAGGUUAAGACAAAUCUGCAUUUCAAUCUUUGCUUGGCCAUUUAGAGUUUUGCAAUUAUGGGUGGUUCCAUGGCCUAACUGAGCUUCAGUUUCCUUAUUUGUGAAAUUGGGUUAAUACAACUAUUACAGAUUAGCACAAAUGAAGUAUAUGUAGCAAGCAUUCAAAACACAUUACAAUUCCUUGCUUAUUCUUUAGCCUUUUUGGUUUCUUCAUGUUUAGCCCAUGUAAAGUGAAGUAAAUCAAAUAAACCAUCGCUGAUUUUGGGUGAAGAAAUGAAACCCCAGAGCCCAGAAUUAGUACAGAUCUGGUGGUAUAACUCUAUGCUGAGCUAUACCAUCUACAUCCCUUAAUUACACUUCUAGGUUCUGACCACUAAAGUGCUGGGAUUAUGUUAAAUUCAGUUGGUGAGGAUGAAACAUAGAGCUAUGAGCUCAUCAGUAAUCUCCCCAGUCAAGCCUUCCACAUCAUUGUUUUUGCCUUUUUAGGCUCAAGAGGUUAAUGACAUUUUUUUAAAAAAUGAUUUUUCAAGUGCUUGAAGAUUACAGUUAAACUGGAUAUAUAAUCUGCUCCACUUUUGACCCUAAAAAACUGUAAAAUGCAGAAAUGUAACAUAGCGAUCUUAUCCUAACUCAGAUAAAUUUGCUAAAACACACACAUAUACUUUUGUUAUUUACAUUGGGAAAAACAAUUCUAAAUUCAAUCCUGGAUAAGUAUUUUUAAACGCAAACUUUAUGACCCAAUUCUGUUUCUACUGAACAGUGAGCUCAGGAGCAAGUGUUCAGGGAUAUGAUAAAAUCUGUAUGAUUUGAAGGAGAAAAUACGCCCGUAGUGAAAGAUAUGGGAAGAAGUUCUCACAAAUGGGAGAGAAAUUGAUUCUUUUCUUAUCAAAUUUUGUAGGAUGAGAUGCAGAUCUGAUUUCUAGGUAUUGCAGAUCAUGAGACUGAAAAAUUCAUAGGAUGCUUUAUUUUCUCCUCUUUCUUUCGCUACCUGGCAAACUGUUGGCCUGGGGUCUGGGAAGCCAUCUCUGUGUUGAGCCCCCAACCUGCUCUCCAUGAAGUUCCAAGAAGGUAACCUGACCGCGUUGGUCUUACCCCUCUGAUUAUACAGUGCCAUUAGACCUGUGAGAGGGGCUGUGACAGUGGAACCCGAAUGAAGACAGGAAAAGUCUGUAGAGGACUGAUGGUUAUGUUCACCAUUCAAAUUGCAAGAAAACCAAUAAGAAGUCAGUAAAGUGCAUUCAAAGAGAAAGGUGGGACUCGUGAAGCAAUACUAAACUGAUACACAAAGGAUCCCCGUACUUCAUCAAAAUAUCAAUGUUGUCCAUGACACACAAAGAACCCAGCUGUAGUUUAAUUCAGCAUCACAGUCCCAACAUGUUUUAAAACAUGUUCCAGCUUUUGGUCCCAGGAUUAUUCAACCUAGCUCAUAAAAGAAAACAAUAUUGCAUUUCUAAGUAUUGGCUCCUAGAAUUGGCAAGUUUAGUCAAGAAAAGCUGGAAUGCCGUUAAAACAACACCCUGUCAUCUUUCAAUCAGUCCUUAGCUGAAGUUAAAAUCCCACUCAUUCUGCAUGAUCCAGCCUCUGUAGCAUAGAGUGAGUAGCCCCUUAACAAGAACCAAAAUGGAGGGUACGGAUGAGGCUCAGAUCGUCACCACCUGGAGAAUAGAGACAGUGACUGAGUCACCAGGAAAUCUGUCCCCUGCUCAUCCCAGAAUCCCCGAGCUUUGACUUUUUAAGAGAACAUGUGACAGAUAAUGCCAUCUGAGAAGAUUCACAGAGCAACCAAAUAAAGAUGAUUGAGUGAAUGGCUAAAGAAAUAAAUAUGUUCGAAUCUGUACCCAUCUCAUGUCUUUCCUGAUGAUUGCCUCCUUUACUGUAUGUUUUCCACUGAGAUGAAGAUUUUGGUCAUUUCCUCAUUCAUGUUCCUGCUUUUCAAAACCCAAGCAAGAAAGGAAACUUCUACAGUGACUUUCUCAUUAUGAAAUCUUAGCAUUCACUAGUCGGCCAUAAUGGAAAACCAGCCAAAUGGACACAUAUACACUGGUCUGUACCCGCAGAGAAAGAAAUGCAAAUCUCUGUGAUCAGAAAACUAUCCUAUCUUGUACAUUGUUAAAAGUCUGCCUCCAAAAAGUUUACUUCUGGAAUACUGUAAUUGAAUAGAAUCAGGGAUCCUACCUGUGUCCUUCAACUUUCACAUCUUGUCUACUCAAGUAAGGGUUGAAUUUGCAUGACUAUAUCUAAGGUUCGAGGGCUUACCUGUUGGCAGUAGACCCAGUAGUCUAUGAAUGGAAAUGGGCAAACCUGUGACCUCCCAAAACUUUAAUAUGAAAGUUUUGUUUGUGUAUACUCAUGGCAUUAUUCUUUUAAUAAAGAGAUAAUCUAUAUAGUUUUCUUUUUUAAAAGAUACUUUUAUUUCUUUAUUGUUGGGAACUGACACAGCUAAUUUCUUUCUGAAGAGGUUCUUUGGUUGAGAAUGG